UGGGAGAAUCUGUAAAGCUCAGGAGGGAUAGCGCCUAAGCUAUUUCUUUCUUUCUUUCUUUCUUUCUUUUUUGCAGAAAUAUCAUCUGCGGCGCUAUCUAUCCUGAGUUUCAUGGGUUCUUCCU
rnacentral:pre_miRNA from 1 species